GACAUAGGUGGCGAACGUUAUCCGGAAUUAUUGGGCGUAAAGGAUGCGUAGAUGGUAGAAUAAGUUAUUGGUCGAUGCCAAACUCAAUUUGGCGGAAGCUGGUAAUACUGUUCAGCUAGAGGGCAGGAGAGGUUGAUGGAAUUCUGUGUGGAGCGGUGAAAUGCGUAGAGAUCUGGAAGAACACCAAAGGCGAAGGCAGCGUCCUGGCAAGUCACUGACGCUCAGGUGCGAAAGCUAGGGGAGCGAACGGG
rnacentral:rRNA from 1 species